rnacentral:rRNA from 1 species
CCUACGGGAGGCAGCAGUGAGGAAUAUUGGUCAAGGGGCGUAAGCCUGAACCAGCCAAGUCGCGUGAGGGAUGAAGGUUCUAUGGAUCGUAAACCUCUUUUAUAAGGGAAUAAAGUGUGGGACGUGUCCGGUUUUGUAUGUACCUUAUGAAUAAGGAUCGGCUAACGCCGGGCCAGCAGCCGCGGUAAUACGGAGGAGCCGAGCGUUAUCCGGAUUUAUUGGGUUUAAAGGGUGCGUAGGCGGCCUUUUAAGUCCGCGGUGAAAGUCUGUGGCUCAACCAUAGAAUUGCCGUUGAAACGGGUAGGCUUGCGUAUGUUUGAGGCAGGCGGCAUGCGUGGUGUAGCGGU